CAAGUUUAGAGCAGCACAGCAACUACCACGCUGGAUAUUACACCAGUAUGGUUUCUUUUAAAGUCAGUUCCAGGUUGAUCCCGUUCUUGUUGGUUUUGUGAAGGCUGCCACAUAGAACAGGAGUGAAUUUUAAUUAUAAUCAAUCAGAUUGGGAAAGACCUCUGAGAUCAUCGAGUCCAACCUAUGAUCCAACACCACUAUGUCAACUUGACCUAAGUGCUACAUCAAGUCUUUCCUUAAACACCUCCAGAUCCAGAGAAGCCCAGUUCCUGUGACCCACAGGACAGCAAUUUAUGUGCAGCACAUCAUCACUGUAUCCCAAAUGAUUGGCAGCAACGGCCUGGAGAGACAGAGGCACCAGCCAGCCAUGGAUCAACUGGCUCAACACCACCAACAACAUGGUGAGGGGGGAAAAGUCUUGCUCCACAACAUAUAUAUGGACCAAUAUCUCAGCUUUCAACAAUAACCACCCUUUUGAUCAAGAGGAAAGAUGUAGAAAGUACACACACAGCAGGCUACCCUUCAGUUUUACCUGUGGGACCACAGACAGGACAUGAAGAAUUGGGAUGGAAGUGAAUGGCAUUUGUUUCAUGGAAGAUUCAGACACAAUCAGGUUAAACUUCCAGAACAAAACAACAUAAAUGAACUUAGCUGCAGCAGUUAUCAGUGCUCAGUUGUCAGCAAAUGCAAAAUAACUCUACUCAGCACUCUUACUAUUGCCCUUAAAGAAUAACUAAUAGUGACUCGCCUUCAGUAGGUUUACUGCAAUUUCUCCCUGUGUAAAAGUUUUAGGUUACCUUCAAAGCACACAUGGAAAACAACUAUUUGAACUGUAAAAUCACUGCUGAUCUAUAAUAAAAUCAGAACAAUUGCAUAAAAGCAGUGGAAACAACAAAUAAGACAUUGAAUCCAAACUGACACCCAGAAAGGUGUUACCUAACACGAAAGAAAAGAACCCACUGUGGUAAUGUUAACAUAACUCAUAAUCUGCUUAUGGAAUUUUUUUUAGUUUUGGGUCAAAUGCUGACCUAGAGCAACUAGACUCUUUGUAACUGAACUUCUAAUUUAGAAAAUUAGUUAAUUCAUACCAUACUCACUCUGUAAUCUCUUACUGGACAAUAGUUUUUAAAACACAGCUAAAAUUUUGAAUCAAGGACUUGAACCACACCACAUUUUUACUCUCAAUAUUACUGCAGGACAACAGUGAUAGGACACAUUGCAUUCUGUUGACAGCAUAGCAGUGCCCCUAUCAGAUUAGUUACACAGAGCAAGGACUUUGAUUUUCUGUAUUGAAAAGAGUAAAUGAGACAGUGCUUCCUUUUCUUGUUAAAUUAGGUUACUGUUUAAUCUCAACGGCAUUUUACUAAGUCUGGAACACAGUGCUAAUUAAGUCAACACUUACUGAAUACUGAAUUUGAACAACACAUUAGUAGGCUAAACUUCCAUAAAGAUAAUUUCACACUAAACUUGGCAAAGACAAGCCAUUUGUAUAAGGCAAAGUGUAAGUGAUGAUAAAAGUAAGUACUUCAACUUUAGACAACAAAAAAAGGCGGGGGUUUCUUUGAUGUUUUUCUACUGUGAAGAGUUUGUAAUUAACUUAGAUUUAAUAACUAAAUGGCAUCUUCUGCAUAAAGUUGUGAAAUUAAAAUGUUUUAUUUUAAUGAAGAAUACUACUUAAAGAGUAGGGUUUGGUUGUGCUAAGCACUGUAUGAAUGUCAAAGAAUGAAAACAAAACAGUUCCUUUCUGAUCAAGUUGUUUUGUCUGUUCCCCCUUGCCCACUUUUUCACUUGCUGCCUGUGCUCCCAAAGCUUCCCUGAGUCACCCUAAGCAGAAGCACAGCUGAUCUGUGACCCGUUAGGUCACAAUAUCUGUGGCCUAACACAGACCAACAUUGCAGCCUUUGGCCACUUUUUUGACAGUGGAUGGGUGAGAAGGCUCUUACUGAGUAUUAGGAUGCCUUGGCAUGAGAGGGAUGCAAUAGUUACAAGCUACUUGAAAAAGAAAGGCAUCUGUUCAGUUUUGUCUGCAGUUUCCAAAGGAUAAAUUCAAUAUCUGAUGGCACUCAGAAGAACAGAGACAGUGUUUAUAAAUCCAAGCACUUUACGGUUUCAGCAAAAGCAAUUUCUUCAAGUUUAUCCUGAAAACUUCGAACUAGACAGGAGUACCUGCAUCACAGAAAAGAAAUAGGCUCUAGAUGAACAUGUCAUCUUACACUGUAAUGUCUCAUCUAGGGCUCACCUAGAUAUCUGAACUGUAAAUUCUUGGACUGAAAGAAAUUAUUGCUAUGAACUGAACAGGACCACAGUCACAGGUUCCUCCAUGACAGCACAACAGUAGCACAGGCUUUCAUAUUCUGACAGUUUUGUAAUACAGGCAAGAACAGAAAUUACUACUUCUGUUUUUACAGACCUGUUCUAAACCUGUUCAACCAGAGGAAAUGCAAUGAUUUUAGUAUUUAUUUCCAGUACUAUACACAAAAUACACCACUCCCCAAAAACUCAGAUGUAUCCAAGUUCACAAGAAUCAUGUUCCACUCUCUGAACACCCAACUACCAACUCUCCAAAGAAGUCUACAAUUUUCUUAAGCACUCUUUGCAAAUGUAGUAAAAAUAAUUCAAACCUACAAUUCCAGGAACCUGAAAAGACAAGCUCAGUUUUGAUGCAAUUCAAAAUUCGUAGUAAUUAAAAUGGAAGGUCAGCAAGUUCAACUGUUGCAAAACAUUCUGUGUGAGUAACAUUAGUAUCUCAGGAAAUAUUUUUUAAUCAAAGUCACCAGACUACUUUGCAGUUUUAUUACGGAAAGUCACCAAAAAAUGCCAGAAUCAGCAGGAUUUUUCAAAUUGCUUCCAGGAAAACAGAACUCAGACUUUAAGCAGUAGGUCUUACCUGAACAUUGCUUUUGGGAUAAUAGAAGAAAAAUGGCUUCAAAAUGGGAGACCUAGAUACACAAAACAACAAGCAUAAAUGCAUUUACCUACAAAUUAAUGAAACCUGCAGAUCCUACACCUUUGGACUAUUCAUUCACCAAACACGUGGGAAGUCAAAUCCAUUCAACCACGACUAGCAAUGGUUUUUCAAACAACUUUGGAAAGCCCGAGGAGUGUAAAAACAUUAUUAAGAAUGUAAGAUUUUGUUUUAAAAACUGAAGAUUUUACUGAGGGGAAGUAGCUAAAACAGCAAAAAUAUUUUCUUGACAAAGGAUGUACUUCUUGACAUUGAAGACUACUACACUGUCAGUAGCCCCACACUGAUACCUAGGCCAGCUACACAGGGCUACUGGAAAUACUGCCCCAGGUUCUUCUCCCAUCUUCAUCUGCAGUAUUUGCUAAAUGACAGUGAAGAUUUAGAUGAAUAAGCAUGAAAAGGUGAGGAUACAAAUCACCACAAGAUUUUAGCCAUAUCUAGAAAGAAAGUGAAUCAAGCAAAGUUUUUUUUCUAAACAUGCUCAAUGUUGUUAUGCUCAGCUCAGUCAUGAAAUGUUUUCAUGCUAAAAUUUUGUGGGAUGUUCUGGCAUUUGACCUUACAUUUCUAGGCGAAGUGAACUCAUACAAAUGUAAAUUUGAUGGGCCCAUAUUCCAAACUACCAGCUACAAGAGAAAACUGGUGCAGAAAUCUGCAUGUAUUAAUGUGGUUGAACUACUGCCUUGCCACAAAGUCAUAUUUCAAGUUUUCUGUAUAGCUCAUUAAGCAAAGACAUUGCUAUGAGCUGAUCAGAAACCUACAUAAUUCACACUUAAUUCAAUAAAGAAUUUUACUAUUUGCAUGCAUAUUGUAUAGCACUAUUAUCUUGCUAUCAGUUAUUAAGCACAGAGUGACACAGGAACAUUUAGUUGCUUCUGUGGUUGCUGUCCCAAGCUGGGGAAGCUUGUGCUGGUGACUGGUAGGAACAUUAUCAUCACACAUUACAACAAGUUAAUGGUCAGGAGUUAACUUACACUCUGGGGCGCCCUCCAACAAUUCCAGUGA